UAAAAAAACUGAUACUGAGGC
rnacentral:piRNA from 1 species